GGACUACCCGGGUAUCUAAUCCUGUUUGCUCCCCACGCUUUCGCGUCUCAGCGUCAGUACCGUACUAGAGAGCCGCCUUAGCCACGGGUGUUCUUCCUGAUAUCUGCGCAUUUCACCGCUACACCAGGAAUUCCACUCUCCUCUUCCGGACUCUAGCUAGAUGGUUUCCAUCGGCGUCUCGAGGUUGAGCCUCGAGUUUUCACAACGGACCUACCUAGCAGCCUACACGCUCUUUACGCCCAAUAAAUCCGGACAACGCUUGCCCCCUACGUAUUACCGCGGCGGCUGGCAC
rnacentral:rRNA from 1 species